ACAAGGUUUCCGUAGGUGAACCUGCGGAGGGAUCAUUACACAAAUAUGAAGGCGGGCUGGAACCUCUCGGGGUUACAGCCUUGCUGAAUUAUUCACCCUUGUCUUUUGCGUACUUCUUGUUUCCUUGGUGGGUUCGCCCACCACUAGGACAAACAUAAACCUUUUGUAAUUGCAAUCAGCGUCAGUAACAAAUUAAUAAUUACAACUUUCAACAACGGAUCUCUUGGUUCUGGCAUCGAUGAAGAACGCAGCGAA
rnacentral:misc_RNA from 1 species